UGCAGUCGAACGGUAGCAGGAAGUGCUUGCACUUUGCUGACGAGUGGCGGACGGGUGAGUAAUGCUUGGGAACUUGCCUUUGCGAGGGGGAUAACAGUUGGAAACGACUGCUAAUACCGCAUAAUGUCUACGGACCAAACGGGGCUUAGGCUUCGGCGCAGAGAGAGGCCCAAGUGAGAUUAGCUAGUUGGUGGGGUAAAGGCUCACCAAGGCGACGAUCUCUAGCUGUUCUGAGAGGAAGAUCAGCCACACUGGGACUGAGACACGGCCCAGACUCCUACGGGAGGCAGCAGUGGGGAAUAUUGCACAAUGGGGGGAACCCUGAUGCAGCCAUGCCGCGUGUGUGAAGAAGGCCUUCGGGUUGUAAAGCACUUUCAGUUGUGAGGAAAAGUGAGUAGUUAAUACCUGCUCACCGUGACGUUAACAACAGAAGAAGCACCGGCUAACUCCGUGCCAGCAGCCGCGGUAAUACGGAGGGUGCGAGCGUUAAUCGGAAUUACUGGGCGUAAAGCGCACGCAGGCGGUUUGUUAAGCUAGAUGUGAAAGCCCCGAGCUCAACUUGGGAUGGUCAUUUAGAACUGGCAGACUAGAGUCUUGGAGAGGGGAGUGGAAUUCCAGGUGUAGCGGUGAAAUGCGUAGAUAUCUGGAGGAACAUCAGUGGCGAAGGCGACUCCCUGGCCAAAGACUGACGCUCAUGUGCGAAAGUGUGGGUAGCGAACAGGAUUAGAUACCCUGGUAGUCCACACCGUAAACGCUGUCUACUAGCUGUUUGUGGCUUUAAGCCGUGAGUAGCGAAGCUAACGCGAUAAGUAGACCGCCUGGGGAGUACGGCCGCAAGGUUAAAACUCAAAUGAAUUGACGGGGGCCCGCACAAGCGGUGGAGCAUGUGGUUUAAUUCGAUGCAACGCGAAGAACCUUACCUACACUUGACAUGCAGAGAACUUUCCAGAGAUGGAUUGGUGCCUUCGG
rnacentral:rRNA from 1 species